UGGGGAAUAUUGCACAAUGGGCGAAAGCCUGAUGCAGCGACGCCGCGUGAGGGAUGACGGCCUUCGGGUUGUAAACCUCUUUCAGCAGGGACGAAGCGCAAGUGACGGUACCUGCAGAAGAAGCACCGGCUAACUACGUGCCAGCAGCCGCGGUAAUACGUAGGGUGCAAGCGUUGUCCGGAAUUACUGGGCGUAAAGAGUUCGUAGGCGGUUUGUCGCCUCGUUUGUGAAAACCAGCAGCUCAACUGCUGGCUUGCAGGCGAUACGGGCAGACUUGAGUACUGCAGGGGAGACUGGAAUUCCUGGUGUAGCGGUGAAAUGCGCAGAUGUCAGGAGGAACACCGGUGGAGAAGGCGGGUCUCUGGGCAGUAACUGACGCUGAGGAACGAAAGCGUGGGUAGCGAACAGG
rnacentral:rRNA from 1 species